AUGGCAACGGGUGGCGGGGAACACGAAAGGCCCCAAACAUCUCAGGAGCCCAGGAGAAGGAGGAAUGUCCGUCAGUCUGCCUCUGAGCAAGUUAGUCGGGAAAUGAUCGAUGCCCGACUCAUCCAGUUCCUAGCUCAGAGGAGGACUGAUGGACAAGAAGAAACAAUGUUAAGAGGGCUUGCGCCACUUAUGAGGCAUGUUCCCCCCCCAAAACCAUCACCAUUCUGUAGCAGCCUAGGCACU